UGAAAAUAAUGGAUUCAAAAUGUUAAUGAUGAUAACAAAAACUAUAGAUGAGCUCACCAAAAGAGUAAGCAUCAACAGAUGACCAGGAACCGAGGACCAGAGUGCCCAGUGUUGAGAGGAAGAUCUGGCAAAAGAGACAGAAGGAUCAAGCAGUGGAAUAGGAGGAACUCCAGGAGCUUGUGAUGUAUGGAGGCCAGUGAAGACAGUGCAUGGAGGAGAUACAGGCAUGGAGAUCAUCAACCAAGAAGACGGAUGGAGAAAGAGCUUAUUAGGAGAGAGAAAAUAGUGUGAAAGCAUCUCUAGGAGAGUGGGAGAGUGCAUACCUCAGAAAAUACAGCACAAAACCCCCUUGAAGGUCAUGGUCAUCAAUAUCAUGACUGUGUAGUUAUAUUUGAAAAUGCUAAGGAGCUUUCAUUAUGGUUGUCCUUUUAAGAUGGACUUUGAAUAAAGAAUGUUCUCAACUGGUAGGCUAAAUUCCUCAUAGAAGUCCAAAUAGGUCGAUGUAUAAACCACCAGGGAGUUUCUGUUUGACGUGUGUGCACAGAUUGUCCACUGCUGUGCCUAGAUGACCUCUACAGCCUGGCUUUUCUUCUCUCUCUGCUCUCAAAACCUGUCUGAUUUGCAUGUCUGUUCUUUUUUAUUGGCAUGUAUCUAGAUGGAAAUGUUAGCAUUUAAACCAUUAUUGUUGAGCUCGGCAAAGGAAAAACAAAAGGUACUAGAAUAGCUGAGAUGAGAGAAGGGAGAGAUGCAGAUUUAGCUAAGAAAUUACUCAGAAUUGAAGGCCCAUGAAGGUAAAGCCGGCUGGACCAUGUUCUAUAUAUAAACAGAAAAGAAAGCAGAUGAUGUUGUGGACAUUUAAUGUGUCAAAAGGAGUCCUAAACUGCCUUGAGUUACUUGAGGUGGGUCUGCUAAAUGUUGGGUUAAUUGAGUACUGUACCUUUUAUUUCAUUCUUCAAACGAAAAUAUUCCUUGCUUCUUGGUUUUAAUUUAUUUGCAAGAAAUUUAUAUAA